rnacentral:rRNA from 1 species
AACGAACGCUGGCGGCAUGCCUAACACAUGCAAGUCGAACGAGAUCUUCGGGUCUAGUGGCGCACGGGUGCGUAACGCGUGGGAAUCUGCCCUUUGGUUCGGAAUAACAGUUGGAAACGACUGCUAAUACCGGACGAUGACGAAAGGCCAAAGAUUUAUCGCCAGAGGAUGAGCCCGCGUAGGAUUAGCUAGUUGGUGUGGUAAAGGCGCACCAAGGCGACGAUCCUUAGCUGGUCUGAGAGGAUGAUCAGCCACACUGGGACUGAGACACGGCACAGACUCCUACAGGAGGCAGCAGUGGGGAAUAUUGGACAAUGGGCGAAAGCCUGAUCCAGCAAUGCCACGUGAGUGAUGAAGGCCUUAGGGUUGUAAAGCUCUUUUACCCGGGAUGAUAAUGACAGUACCGGGAGAAUAAGCUCCGGCUAACUCCGUGCCAGCCGCCGCCGUAA